AGAGUUUGAUCCUGGCUCAGAUUGAACGCUGGCGGUAUGCUUAACACAUGCAAGUCCAACGGUAACAGCAGAGCUUGCUCUGGCUGACGAGUGGCGGACGGGUGCGUAACGCGUGGGAAUCUACCUUGUAGUGGGGGAUAGCCCGGAGAAAUCCGGAUUAACACCGCAUAAUCUCUACGGAGGAAAAGGGGCCUCUUCUUGAAAGCUCCUGCUAUUAGAUGAGCCCGCGUUGGAUUAGCUUGUUGGUAGGGUAAUGGCCUACCAAGGCGACAAUCCAUAGCUGGUUUGAGAGGAUGAUCAGCCACACUGGGACUGAGACACGGCCCAGACUCCUACGGGAGGCAGCAGUGGGGAAUAUUGGACAAUGGGCGAAAGCCUGAUCCAGCAAUACCGCGUGUGUGAAGAAGGCCUGAGGGUUGUAAAGCACUUUCAAUAGAGACGAAAAGCUUAAGGAUAAUACCCUUGAGUCUUGACUUAACCUAUAGAAGAAGCACCGGCUAACUAAGUGCCAGCAGCCGCGGUAAUACUUAGGGUGCAAGCGUUAAUCGGAAUUACUGGGCGUAAAGCGCUCGUAGGCGGCUUGUAAAGUCGGAUGUGAAAUCCCCGGGCUCAACCUGGGAACUGCAUUCGAUACUGGCAAGCUAGAGUAUAGUAGAGGCAAGUGGAAUUCCGGGUGUAGCGGUGAAAUGCGUAGAUAUC
rnacentral:rRNA from 1 species